rnacentral:rRNA from 1 species
AGAGUUUGAUCCUGGCUCAGAGCGAACGCUGGCGGCAGGCCUAACACAUGCAAGUCGAGCGGGCACCUUCGGGUGUCAGCGGCAGACGGGUGAGUAACACGUGGGAACGUGCCCUUUGGUUCGGGACAACUCCGGGAAACUGGAGCUAAUACCGGAUAAGCCCUUCGGGGGAAAGAUUUAUCGCCAAAGGAUCGGCCCGCGUCUGAUUAGCUAGUUGGUGAGGUAAUGGCUCACCAAGGCGACGAUCAGUAGCUGGUCUGAGAGGAUGAUCAGCCACACUGGGACUGAGACACGGCCCAGACUCCUACGGGAGGCAGCAGUGGGGAAUAUUGGACAAUGGGCGCAAGCCUGAUCCAGCCAUGCCGCGUGAGUGAUGAAGGCCCUAGGGUUGUAAAGCUCUUUUGUCCGGGAAGAUAAUGACUGUACCGGAAGAAUAAGCCCCGGCUAACUUCGUGCCAGCAGCCGCGGUAAUACGAAGGGGGCUAGCGUUGCUCGGAAUCACUGGGCGUAAAGGGCGCGUAGGCGGAUCUUUAAGUCGGGGGGUGAAAGCCCAGGGCUCAACCCCUGGAAUUGCCUUCGAUACUGAAGAUCUCGAGACCGGAAGAGGUAAGUGGAACUGCGAGUGUAGAGGUGAAAUUCGUAGAUAUUCGCAAGAACACCAGUGGCGAAGGCGGCUUACUGGUCCGGUUCUGAGCUGGGGCGCGAAAGCGUGGGGAGCAAACAGGAUUAGAUACCCUAGUAGUCC